rnacentral:sRNA from 1 species
UCAUAAGUCAACAACAUUGUGAAAGCAGAUGAAAAUCUUUGACUAGAUUAGAUUCUACAUAAACUCUUGACUAGAUUAGACUAUAGUGAAGUGAGGGAUCUAAUCUAGAGUCUAGCUAGCCCAUUAUUUUCAAUCUUCAAUAGUGGAUAUUACCAUUGUCUAAUCAUUGUACAGUGGUUAACUGCUGAUGAAAAACUGAGUCCGUUAAGGUGAAUGUCAUCCACCGCUGGCAGGAAGUAUGCCAGUACGUCUGAGGAGAAGGGCGCUACUUGCCUACAUUCUCUCACUAAGCUUCUCGUGUUUAGUCAUCUGGGCAUUGCUAUUUUUAGCUUCUGAACAGACCAUCGCCCCCUAUGGAAAAAUUGAGCUUACAGCUGAGGAUAGCUAUAAUUUCCCACAUGACAGCCAUCCUACUAAAGAUCAUAUUGAAUUGAAAG